AAAAUAAUAGUUAAAAAUUUAACAGUCUGCUUGCAUUAGACUAGUCCUUAGUUAAAGGUUAUUUUA
rnacentral:tRNA from 1 species